UGGGGAAUUUUGCACAAUGGGGGAAACCCUGAUGCAGCGACGCCGCGUGAUUUAGAAGGCCUUCGGGUUGUAAAAAUCUUUUCUAUGGGAAGAAAAUGACAGUACCAUAGGAAUAAGGACCGGCUAAUCACGUGCCAGCAGCCGCGGUAAUACGUAAGGUCCGAGCGUUGUCCGGAAUCAUUGGGCGUAAAGGGUACGUAGGCGGGUAAGCAAGUUAGAAGUGAAAUCCUAUAGCUCAACUAUAGUAAGCUUUUAAAACUGCUCAUCUUGAGGUAUGGAAGGGAAAGUGGAAUUCCUAGGGUAGCGCUGAAAUGCGCAGAUAUUAGGAGGAAUACCGGAGGCGAAGGCGACUUUCUGGCCAUAACCUGACGCUGAGGUACGAAAGCGUGGGUAGCAAACAGG
rnacentral:rRNA from 1 species